rnacentral:rRNA from 1 species
UACGAAGGGGGCUAGCGUUGCUCGGAAUCACUGGGCGUAAAGGGUGCGUAGGCGGGUCUUUAAGUCAGGGGUGAAAUCCUGGAGCUCAACUCCAGAACUGCCUUUGAUACUGAAGAUCUUGAGUUCGGGAGAGGUGAGUGGAACUGCGAGUGUAGAGGUGAAAUUCGUAGAUAUUCGCAAGAACACCAGUGGCGAAGGCGGCUCACUGGCCCGAUACUGACGCUGAGGAGCGAAAGCGUGGGGAGCAAACAGGG